UCAGAAUGAACGCUGGCGGCGUGCUUAACACAUGCAAGUCGAACGAGAAAUCUUUAGCUUGCUAGAGAAAGUAAAGUGGCGCACGGGUGAGUAACGCGUGGGUAAUCUGCCUCCGAAUCGGGGAUAACAUUGCGAAAGCGAUGCUAAUACCGGAUAAAAUCUGGUUGGCUUCGGUGAACCGGAUCAAAGGUGGUCUCUUUAUAAAAGCUACCGUUUGGAGAUGAGCUCGCGUACCAUUAGCUAGUUGGUGAGGUAAAGGCUCACCAAGGCGACGAUGGUUAGCUGGUCUGAGAGGAUGAUCAGCCACACCGGAACUGGAACACGGUCCGGACUCCUACGGGAGGCAGCAGUGAGGAAUUUUGCGCAAUGGGGGAAACCCUGACGCAGCAACGCCGCGUGAGUGAUGAAGGCUUUCGGGUCGUAAAGCUCUGUCGGGUGGGAAGAACCCACCAAGUGUUAAGACCACUUGGUGCUGACGGUACCACCGAAGGAAGCACCGGCUAACUCCGUGCCAGCAGCCGCGGUAAUACGGGGGGUGCGAGCGUUAUUCGGAAUCAUUGGGCGUAAAGGGCGCGCAGGCGGUUUUGUAAGUCAGAUGUGAAAUCCCGGGGCUUAACCCCGGAAGUGCAUAUGAAACUAUGAGACUUGAGUAUGGGAGAGGGAAGCGGAAUUCCUGGUGUAGCGGUGAAAUGCGUAGAUAUCAGGAGGAACACCGGUGGCGAAGGCGGCUUCCUGGACCAAUACUGACGCUGAGGCGCGAAGGCGUGGGGAGCGAACAGGAUUAGAUACCCUGGUAGUCCACGCAGUAAACGUUGAUCACUAGGUGUAGCGGGUAUUGACCCCUGCUGUGCCGGAGUUAACGCAUUAAGUGAUCCGCCUGGGGAGUACGAUCGCAAGAUUAAAACUUAAAGGAAUUGACGGGGGCUCACACAAGCGGUGGAGCAUGUGGCUUAAUUCGAAGCAACGCGAAGAACCUUAUCCUGGGUUUGACAUGCAUGGAUUAACUCCUGGAAACAGGAGCCACACUCUUUGAGUGGAACAUGCACAGGUGCUGCAUGGCUGUCGUCAGCUCGUGCCGUGAGGUGUUAGGUUAAGUCCUUCAACGAGCGAAACCCUUGUCAUUAGUUGCCAGCGAGUAAAGUCGGGGACUCUAAUGAGACUGCCGGUGUCAAACCGGAGGAAGGUGGGGAUGACGUCAAGUCCUCAUGGCCUUCAUGCCCAGGGCUGCACACGUGCUACAAUGGUGCGUACAGAGCGAAGCAAUACCGUAAGGUGGAGCAAAUCGCAAAAAGCGUACCUCAGUUCGGAUUGUGGUCUGCAACUCGACCACAUGAAGUCGGAAUCGCUAGUAAUCGCGUAUCAGCAAUGGCGCGGUGAUAUGUUCCUGAGCAUUGUACACACCGCCCGUCAAGUCAUGGAAGCCGGCAGUGCCCAAAGUGGCC
rnacentral:rRNA from 1 species